rnacentral:rRNA from 1 species
UACGUAGGCAGCAAGCGUUGUUCGGAGUUACUGGGCGUAAAGGGUGCGUAGGUGGCUCUAUAAGUAUGGUGUGAAAUCUCCCGGCUUAACUGGGAGGGUGCGCCGUAGACUGUGGGGCUAGAGUGUGGGAGAGGAAAGUGGAAGUUCCUGGUGUAGCGGUGAAAUGCGUAGAUAUCAGGAGGAACACCGGUGGUGUAAACGGCUUUCUGGACCAUAACUGACACUGAGGCACGAAAGCGUGGGUAGCAAACAGG